CCUGCCCCGAAAGGCAUUGCAGGUAUGGCUGCUGGGUCACAUGUGUGUCAGUGGUUGGCAAAGGGGAGACAGGCUCUGUCUAUGCUCAGUGUUCUGACCUGUGACUAUCUGGAUAAGUAGCCUAACACU
ensembl:snoRNA